rnacentral:rRNA from 1 species
UACGUAGGGUCCGAGCGUUGUCCGGAAUUAUUGGGCGUAAAGGGCUCGUAGGCGGUUUGUCGCGUCGGGAGUGAAAACUCAGGGCUCAACCCUGAGCGUGCUUCCGAUACGGGCAGACUAGAGGUAUGCAGGGGAGAACGGAAUUCCUGGUGUAGCGGUGGAAUGCGCAGAUAUCAGGAGGAACACCGGUGGCGAAGGCGGGUCUCUGGGCCGAUACUGACGCUGAGGAGCGAAAGCGUGGGGAGCGAACAGG